UACGUAGGGGGCAAGCGUUGUCCGGAUUCAUUGGGCGUAAAGAGCGUGUAGGCGGCCAGGUAGGUCAGCUGUGAAAACUCGAGGCUCAACCUCGAGACGUCGGUUGAAACCACCUGGCUAGAGUCCGGAAGAGGAGAGUGGAAUUCCCGGUGUAGCGGUGAAAUGCGCAGAUAUCGGGAAGAACACCCGUGGCGAAGGCGGCUCUCUGGGACGGUACUGACGCUGAGACGCGAAAGCGUGGGGAGCGAACAGG
rnacentral:rRNA from 1 species